rnacentral:rRNA from 1 species
CGAGAAUUUUUCACAAUGGGCGCAAGCCUGAUGGAGCGACGCCGCGUGGGGGAUGAAUGGCUUCGGCCCGUAAACCCCUGUCAUUUGCGAUCAAACCUUGCUAUUUAAAAGAUGGCGAGCUGAUAGUAGCGAAAGAGGAAGGGACGGCUAACUCUGUGCCAGCAGCCGCGGUAAUACAGAGGUCCCAAGCGUUGUUCGGAUUCACUGGGCGUAAAGGGUGCGUAGGUGGUGGGGUAAGUCGGAUGGGAAAUCUCGGAGCUCAACUCCGAAAUGGCAUUGGAAACGACCCUGCUAGAGGGUCGGAGGGGGGACUGGAAUUCUCGGUGUAGCAGUGAAAUGCGUAGAUACCGAGAGGAACACCAGUGGCGAAGGCGAGUCCCUGGACGACUCCUGACACUGAGGCACGAAAGCUAGGGGAGCAAACA